UCUUAGUGGCGGACGGGUGAGUAACGCGUGGGUAACCUGCCUUGCACUGGGGGAUAACACUUAGAAAUAGGUGCUAAUACCGCCUAAGCGCACGGUCCUGCAUGGGACAGUGUGAAAAACUCCGGUGGUGCAAGAUGGACCCGCGUCUGAUUAGCUGGUUGGCGGGGUAAAGGCCCACCAAGGCGACGAUCAGUAGCCGGCCUGAGAGGGUGGACGGCCACAUUGGGACUGAGACACGGCCCAAACUCCUACGGGAGGCAGCAG
rnacentral:rRNA from 1 species